rnacentral:rRNA from 1 species
CCAUAGCGUAUAUUCAAGUUGUUGCAGUUAAAAAGCUCGUAGUUGGAUUUGUGGCGUACGGUGUGUUCCGGGCACUUGUUGUCUGAGUAACCUGCUGUUGCCAUCCUUGGGUGGAACCUGUGUGGCAUUAGGUUGUCGUGCAGGGGAUGCCCAUCAUUUACUGUGAAAAAAUUAGAGUGUUCAAAGCAGGCUUAUGCCGUUGAAUAUAUUAGCAUGGAAUAAUGAGAUAGGACUUUUUUGCUAUUUUGUUGGUUUGCGCAAAGAGGUAAUGAUUAAUAGGGACAGUUGGGGGUAUUCGUAUUCCAUUGUCAGAGGUGAAAUUCUUGGAUUUUUGGAAGACGAACUACUGCGAAAGCAUUUACCAAGGAUGUUUUCAUUAA